rnacentral:rRNA from 1 species
GACGAACGCUGGCGGCGUGCUUAACACAUGCAAGUCGAACGGAAAGGCCCUGCUUUUGUGGGGUGCUCGAGUGGCGAGCGGGUGAGUAACACGUGAGUAACCUGCCCUUGACUUUGGGAUAACUUCAGGAAACUGGGGCUAAUACCGGAUAGGAGCUCCUGCUGCAUGGUGGGGGUUGGAAAGUUUCGGCGGUUGGGGAUGGACUCGCGGCUUAUCAGCUUCUUGGUGGGGUAGUGGCUUACCAAGGCUUUGACGGGUAGCCGGCCUGAGAGGGUGACCGGCUACAUUGGGACUGAGAUACGGCCCAGACUCCUACGGGAGGCAGCAGUGGGGAAUAUUGCACAAUGGGCGGAAGCCUGAUGCAGCAACGCCGCGUGCGGGAUGACGGCCUUCGGGUUGUAAACCGCUUUCGCCUGUGACGAAGCGUGAGUGACGGUAAUGGGUAAAGAAGCACCGGCUAACUACGUG